UACAGAGGUCCCGGAGCGUUGUUCGGAUUCAGCUGGGCGUAAAGGGUGCGCAGGUGGGUUUGCAAGUUCGAUGUGAAAGCCCCCGGGCUUAACCCGGGAAAGGCAUUGGAUACUGCAGAUCUGGAGGAUCGGAGGGGGGGACUGGAAUUCUUGGUGUAGCAGUGAAAUGCGUAGAUAUCAAGAGGAACACCAGUGGCGAAGGCGAGUCCCUGGACGAUACCUGACACUGAGGCACGAAAGCCGGGGGAGCAAACAGG
rnacentral:rRNA from 1 species